CUGCUUCUUUGUUCCGCUUUUUCUUCCUCUCUUUUUUUCUUGCUUUACAAUAAACUCAACACAGCCACGGGGAUUUGAACCGCAAUCCUUCCUUCUCCGCUGACUUCCUUCUUUUCGUUCUUUUCUUUUCUUCCACUGAGAGAGGGAGAUUGGAGAGGGAGGCCGAGAGAGCUGGAAAGAGAACUGGAGAGAACCUGAGAGAGACACGAGGUGGACUAGCCACUGUUGGGGGUGGACAACGGCGCCGGAGGCCAGUGGGUCAUGGCCCGACGCCGGUAAAGCCAAGGGACGUCUUUUUCCGGCGUUUUCUCGGCACCCAAACAUGGAGAAAUUCAUUUUUCGGGAUAUCAUUUUUUGCAAGUGUAUCGAGUAGCACAUGCAUUGUGGAGCCAAGGACGCAAAGUAUUGGCCUUGGCACUACAAAGCCGAAUAAGUGAGGUUUUUGGAGUUGACAUACAUCCAGCUGCAAAAAUUGGAGAGGGAAUAUCAUUGGAUCAUGGGACAGGUGUGGUUAUUAGUGAAACUGCAGUUGUAGG